CGCUCGGGUUAUCGUACGAUCAGCGAAGUUAAGCAACAUCGAGCCUGGUCAAUACCGAGAUGGGUAACCGCUUGGGAAUACCCGCUGCUGUAAG